rnacentral:rRNA from 1 species
CAGACCCGUUUCUUAAACACGGACCAAGGAGUCCAAUGCGCGUGCGAGUCCCCGGGACUUGACCAGGCCCGUGGGCGCAAUGAAGGUGAAGGGCAACGGAGGUUGUCCGAGUUGGGAUCCCUUUCUUUCCAAGGAGGGGCGCACCAACGUCCCGUCCGUGACCGGCUUCGGUCGGGCGGAGACAGAGCACGUGCCUUGGGACCCGAAAGAUGGUGAACUAUGCCUGGGCAGGAUGAAGCCAGAGGAAACUCUGGUGGAGGUCCGUAGCGAUUCUGACGUGCAAAUCGAUCGUCAGACCUUGGUAUAGGGGCGAAAGACUAAUCGAACCAUCUAGUAGCUGUUUCCC